UCCUGAAGGCAGCAUCUUAUUCCCUGUGGUCCAGAUGGAAGAGAGAAAAGGCACGGGGUGGUGAGAGAUAUAUGUGAGUUCCUCAGGUUGGACAGAUCCACGUGGACUACGAAGGUGGAGGUCUGGCAACUCAUUGGGACACCAAAAUGGACUCCUAUGCAGCUGGAGUAACUCCACAACAGUCAAUGGAGUAGUGCUGAGAAGGAAGCUUUCCUCAUCAAGUCUGCCAGAAGACAGAAAAACAAAGGUUUGGAGCAGAGGGAGGAAACCUGCACAUAUGGUGGUGCUCAGAUUGCUGUCA